rnacentral:sRNA from 1 species
GAAGGAUUUAUUUGGCUUACAAUGUCAGUGAUCCAGUCCUGUUACUCUGAAUGCCAGCAUGACUCAGUCCACCUUGAAAAUCAAGUCUCUGCUGUUUGGUCAGAAAGAAUAGCAAAAGGAGAUGAGGCAGAAGACCUCUACCCCUGCCUGUGUGCUGACUGCCUUAACCUUUAUAAUGGUUACUGGCCUUCUUGACUGAUCUAUUUCCUCGUGAUGUUCUAUGUCCCGCGCUAUCGUCUCGCCAGCA